rnacentral:tRNA from 4 species
UGGGGCAUCGUCCAGCGGCAGGACCCUGGUUUUUGGUACCAGUUACGGGGGUUCGAAUCCCUCUGCCCCAGCCA